rnacentral:rRNA from 1 species
GAUGAACGCUGGCGGCGUGCUUAACACAUGCAAGUCGAACGAAGCACUUAUCUUUGAUUCUUCGGAUGAAGAGGUUUGUGACUGAGUGGCGGACGGGUGAGUAACGCGUGGGUAACCUGCCUCAUACAGGGGGAUAACAGUUAGAAAUGACUGCUAAUACCGCAUAAGACCACGGAGCCGCAUGGCUCAGUGGGAAAAACUCCGGUGGUAUGAGAUGGACCCGCGUCUGAUUAGGUAGUUGGUGGGGUAACGGCCUACCUAGCCAACGAUCAGUAGCCGACCUGAGAGGGUGACCGGCCACAUUGGGACUGAGACACGGCCCAAACUCCUACGGGAGGCAGCAGUGGGGAAUAUUGCACAAUGGGGGAAACCCUGAUGCAGCGACGCCGCGUGAGCGAAGAAGUAUUUCGGUAUGUAAAGCUCUAUCAGCAGGGAAGAAAAUGACGGUACCUGACGAAGAAGCACCGGCUAAAUACGUG